UCUUAUCAGAAAAUAAAACCAGAAAAAUACUUUUCACAAUGUGCCCUCACGUUGUUUCGGAACAGAAAUGUUGCAGUUGAAGUUUAUGUCAUUCACUCCUGUGAGCACUACAACAAUGUUACAUUCACCACUAUUAUACCGGGAAUGGCGACGGAAACCUCGAGGAAGGAUAUAGCAAAACAAAAUGUAUCUGCACGGCUGAUACCACAGGGGGAUGCAAAGACAGAAGAUCACUGUGACAAAAGCUGUCAAACAGAUAUGACAAUAGCACAGAGCACCUGUUGGGAGAUUUUGAAAAAGAGUUUAAUGACAAAGUGUGCAAGCACCUCUCCAACAUCCAGCAUCAACACACACAGCUACAGUCUUUGGACAAAGAAGAUGAGUUGAUUCCUCACACUGACUGCAGAAGAUUGUGUGCAAAUGUGCAAAGGAGGUAGAGCAAGUCCGUUUUGGAGCAUCUCAUCAAGACAACACUGCACAAUGCUGUUUUUUUUUUUUGUUGUUUUUUUUUUUUUACACAAUGGAUCAUACACUGAUAGCCUGUACUUUGUCACGCUCAAUAUAACACAAUCCUGCUGUCGUUUGGGCUCAACUAGAACCAGCUCUUCAGUUUCUGACGGUGGACCAUCCAAGGGGUUAAAAAAAAAAAACUCAUCAUCAGGGAUGGGCUAGCAAGUAUAGAUUACUUCAUGAGCACCAUUCCUUUCCAGAUGGGCUUUUACAGCGUUUAACUGGAGUUUCCUGGAAGCUGGUCAUACUAAAGGGCCUGUUGAUGGUGUUGGAGCCACCACAAAGAGAUCGGCAGAUUCACAGGUAGCCAGAGGUACUGACGUACACCAACCGCGAAAGCACUCCAUGACCUACUCCUUCCUCUCACCAAAGUCAAGCUCUUUUAUGUGGAAGAACAGAUUUCUAAAAGUGCACUCUUGCCAAAAGAGCUGCCUACCAUCAAAGGCAGGCACACGAAGCAUUCAUCAGGUAAUCUGCAGGUGCUCAAAUGUUACUGCAACAGAGAAGCCAUCUGUCAGUGUUUCCACCCAAUGUCCACCAAUGCUACACCACAGGCACAGCCCGGAAGAAAUAGUAGUGUCCUGAGCCACCAACCCCAGAAGACAGGAGUCGUUCUAAACUCUGGGUGUGAAGGGACCCUCUGUCCAGUCCAGUAUGUCACCUUGGGGGUCCGUGUCGGAAAGUGGUGUAUCGUCGCAUAUUAAGAUGAUCCACUUCCUGAAAUCAUUGAAGAUAUGGAUGAAGGUGCUGUGGAAGCGGAAAAUAUAUUUGGAGGACAAAAUGUGGUACACAGCAGACAAGGUCAUCACCAUAAUCUCUCUAUCUGAAAAAGUCACGAGUAGGCAUCUCCAAAUCAAACCAGCAGUGUAGGUUGUAGAUAGUUUUCAUUUUAUUGGACCUUUGACUGUUUUUGUACACUAAAAGGCUUUCUAUUAUUAUUGACAUUCUUUAAAAAAUAAAAAAGAUGUUUUUUUAAUUACAGACUAUGCAAUAGCACCUCAGUGAGGUGUAGUCUGAAAGCCAAGUACGAUUGUGUGUCCUUUUCACAUAUCUGUGCUUGGCUUUAUGAGUUAUAAUUAUCUAGUUAUUUUUAUUAAUUUUAUUUACAUAUUCUGCCGUGGCAAAAAAAAAAAAACACAUUGUGGUCACUACAUUAUUAGUCACAACCGAAAAUGUGCAGUCAUGAUGGAAACAUGGGAUGUUUUGUCAAAAAUAAAAUGUAUUGAGUUAUCAAAUAAGAA